rnacentral:rRNA from 1 species
AUGAACGGCUAAAUGAAGACUAAACUGUCUCUUGCAGGCCACCUAUAAAACUGAUCUUCUAGUCAAAAAGCUAGGAUUUUAACACAAGACGAGAAGACCCUGUGGAGCUUAUAAACCAAACCCAUAACAUGACCCCUUGGUUUUUAGUUGGGGCGACUUCGGAGUACAAAAAAUCCUCCGAUUAAAUACCCAGAUAAACAUAUCAAACAUUUGUCCUGACCCAGUAGCUUAAUGCUAACUGAUCAAUGAACCAAGUUACCCCAGGGAUAACAGCGCUAUCCUCUUUUAGAGUUCUUAUCGACAGGAGGGCUUACGACCUCGAUGUUGGAUCAGGACA